CAGAGACAAUCUUCUGAAAUGGACAAAGCUGAACAAGAUGCCAGUUCUUUUGAGCUAGCAGAUCUUGAUGCUCCAAACAACCAGACUGCUGACCAAAUACGCAGAUCUGAACGGUUGAGAAAGCCACCUGUUAAGUUUACUUAUCCACAGCUUGGUAAACCUUUGAUUUCAUUUGCACAAACUAUAUUAGAUGGGUUUAACAAAGUUUUGGUUGAAACAUUUGAAGGUGCUCCUGUCCUUGCACGAACAUGAAGGGACUCAUGUUAAUUAAGAGGAGGAGGAUGUAACCCGCCUAAAAAAACGGGUUAACCAGUUAAUUGUAUUUAAUUAUUAUCAUUAUUUGCUCAUACUUUACGUUAUGAGUAAUGGGGCUUUUAUUUUGAAAAAUACAUUUUAUUUUGCGGGAAACCGGAAGUAGCACAUUAAAAUAUUUCCGUUCGCAUAACACCGCUAAAAUCAGAUGGAGCGCUGCUUCGGGUUCUCCCACGAGUUGAGAAAACAAACCGUGAAGAAAAGAAGUUCGAGAGCCAUCCAGAAAUCAUUUUUAUCUGUCCUGGCUUCUUAUAUUGAAAAUCCUCUCUUGGUCAGGUCUUUUUAUGAAGCGAGCAGAAGUUCCAGAAGCUCCAGUCCUUGAAUCAUAUCAGGUGAACCAUUGAUCCAUAGAUGGCGAGCCUUCCCAAUGAGCCGUGAACCUCUACCACAGCAUUCCGGAAGCCUGUGGUAGGAUUGUGUCAGUUCACCGAACCGGCACCAACGAGAUUUUCCCUUUCGAGUAUUUACCCUUGACUUAGAUUUUUCCCUUUUUACUUACUGACUUGAACUCUGGAUUGAACUCUGGAAUUCCUAAGGACGAUUUCCAAGGAACAUUUUCAAGAAGGACAUUUUAUUUUAUUUUAUUCAAAAUUUAUUUUGGGCCCAUAGGUGGUGUGUACACAAUUGUUGUGAAGUGUUGAAAUAUUUUGUUGAACUAAAGGGUUACACAUUUCAAAACGUUACACUGGUGUUGCUUGGUUAUUACUGUACUUCUCAGCUCCUACGAACCUAGGGUGUACAUCCUCAGAAGUGGGUU